rnacentral:rRNA from 1 species
CUUGCUAAAGUUGUCAGCUAAGUGGCGCACGGGUGAGUAAUGUAUAGGUAAUAUGCCUCUUACUAAGGGAUAACAAUUGGAAACGAUUGCUAAUACCUUAUAUGCCUUUAAGACUUAAGUCUGCAAGGGAAAGAUUUAUUGGUAAGAGAUUAGCCUGUAUUGUAUCAGUUAGUUGGUGGGGUAAUGGCCUACCAAGACAAUGACGCAUAACUGGUUUGAGAGGAUGAUCAGUCACACUGGAACUGAGACACGGUCCAGACUCCUACGGGAGGCAGCAGUGGGGAAUAUUGCACAAUGGGGGAAACCCUGAUGCAGCAACGCCGCGUGGAGGAUGACACAUUUCGGUGCGUAAACUCCUUUUAUAUAGGAAGAUAAUGACGGUACUAUAUGAAUAAGCACCGGCUAACUCCGUGCCAGCAGCCGCGGUAAUACGGAGGGUGCAAGCGUUACUCGGAAUCACUGGGCGUAAAGAGCGUGUAGGCGGGUAUAUAAGUCAGAAGUGAAAUCCAAUAGC